rnacentral:rRNA from 1 species
UACGAGAGGCCCAACCGUUAUUCGGAUUUACUGGGCUUAAAGAGUUUGUAGGCGGUUCGGUAAGUGAGAUGUGAAAGCCCUCGGCUCAACCGAGGAAUUGCGUUUCAAACUGCCGGGCUCGAGGGAGAUAGAGGUGAGCGGAACUGAUGGUGGAGCGGUGAAAUGCGUUGAUAUCAUCAGGAACACCAGAGGCGAAGGCGGCUCACUGGGUCUCUUCUGACGCUGAGAAACGAAAGCUAGGGGAGCAAACAGG